ACUAUUUUGGCAGAUUAGUGCGAUAAAUUUAGAAUUUAUUUAUGUGAUUUAUUAUUACAAAUAGUAC
rnacentral:tRNA from 1 species